rnacentral:ncRNA from 1 species
UCCUGCGGCAGUGGCGAGGAACACCCGACUGUACCUCGGUCGCCUGGUCGGGUGGGAGCUAGUGGCGAGACCGCCUGCUGGCGCG